rnacentral:tRNA from 1 species
UCCUAGCUGGUUCUGUCAGAAGAGCAUGAGAUUCUUGGUCUCAGGGUCAUGGGUUCGAGCCCCAUGUUGAGUG